CCUACGGGUGGCAGCAGUGGGGAAUAUUGCACAAUGGGGGAAACCCUGAUGCAGCGACGCCGCGUGAGUGAAGAAGUAAUUCGUUACGUAAAGCUCUAUCAGCAGGGAAGAAAUACUGACCUUACGGUCAGCAGACGGUACCUGAGUAAGAAGCCCCGGCUAACUACGUGCCAGCAGCCGCGUUAAGACGUAGGGGGCAAGCGUUAUCCGGAUUUACUGGGUGUAAAGGGAGCGUAGACGGUGUGCCAAGUCUGGAGUGAAAUGCCGCAGCUUAACUGCGGAACUGCUUUGGAAACUGGCGAACUAGAGUGCGGGAGGGGUAAGCGGAAUUCCUAGUGUAGCGGUGAAAUGCGUAGAUAUUAGGAGGAACACCGGUGGCGAAGGCGGCUUACUGGACCGUAACUGACGUUGAGGCUCAAAAGCGUGGGUAGCAAACAGGAUUAGAUACCCUUGUAGUC
rnacentral:rRNA from 1 species